GACGAACCGUGCGAACGUUGUUCGGAAUCACUGGGUUUAAAGGGCGCGUAGGCGGGCUGUCAAGUCGGUGGUGAAAUCUUUCGGCUCAACCGGAAAAUUGCCUUCGAUACUGGCGGCCUGGAGGGAGGUAGGGGCAUGCGGAACUUCCGGUGGAGCGGUGAAAUGCGUAGAUAUCGGAAGGAACACCGAUGGCGAAAGCAGCGUGCUGGACCUUUUCUGACGCUGAGGCGCGAAAGCCAGGGGAGCAAACGGG
rnacentral:rRNA from 1 species